CUGUCAUGUCUACCUGGCAGCUCUCCAAACUACACCUCCCACAAAGCCUUUGUUUUCACGACGAUUUCCUUCUGGAUUCAAAUAUCUACGUUGAAACGUGACGUCACACGCGCAAGAUCCCGCCCCCGGCAAACUCGACAAUGACUACCAUUGGUUAUAACUGUCAAGUCGUCAGCAUAACCCGCUAAAUCUUAAAUAUAAGCGUAAUAUAUAACAGGAAAUGGGACGCAAUGUUACUAACCUUGCUCUCUUAUCGACUGAAGGCGUGCAGGAGUCACAGUGCGCCAGGGACUCGGUGGACUGUGGGAACGUGUUUGGGACGCUGUAGCUGAAGCACUGGCCCAGACAGGCUCUGUACAACAAAGAGGAGAGAGUACAUGAACGUGCCUGCCCCACAGACAUGAUGUGCUGGAGUCGACCGAAGCGCUCGCGCCUGUGUAAGCAAGAGCUGCAGGGGGAAAAAAAACAGAGCGCCUGAAAUCUGAACUGAUUUACAAAGCCUGAGGAUUCUCAGAGGCCUCGGGGAAAACAUACACUCACAAAAUGGAGACUUGUUUUUCACAAAUGGUGGUCAUUUGAGAGUUUUCCGAUGGUAAAAUUGACAUCAGGUUUCAGAUGAAUGAAACAGUAAGCAGGCAGGAGAGAGGAGGGAAGACAUGCAGGAAAAGAAGUGAAAAUCAAACCCAGGACAACCGAGCUGAGGCCUGCAGCCUCUGCUUACGGCGCACUGAGCCUCGCAGCACCGUCAAAGUACUUUUACAAAGCUUUUUUAUGACAUAAACAUUAUCAAGAAAUGGAUAAUUGCACAGUGGACUCAAAUGAGCACAUUGUUUUUAAAAUAUGUUGCAAAUAAAAAUGCAAAACGGCUGUUGUGCAUGUGCAACAAACCUUUAUUACUCUCAUAACCCUAAAUAAAACCCAGAGUUUUCAGAAGAGACUCAGAUUCAGAUUUGUUUGCCAAAGCCAGCAAGGCCAUGAAAUAGUCCUAAGAGAAUUCAACAGAAGUACAAAUAAAUAUUUACAAAGUACAAAAGAAAUCUAGCAAACAAUAUAGUAAAAAAAUAAUGGUUAAGAAUGAAUUAAUUAUAUUUCACAGGUGGAAUAAAACUAUUAGUAACUUACUUGUCUGUGAUUUAAUCUCAGUGUAAGUUCAGGAGCUCUGUGAAACUAUCUGAGGUUUGUUAGAGAAUAAACAGCAUCAGUAAUAACAAGGAGCGCAGCAGAAGUGAAAGAACUGGUCUACAUGGCAUGUGUGGCAGAAAUCACUGUCAAAACAUAAUGGUGGCACCGUUAUGCUGUGGGAAUGUUUUUUUUUUUUCAGUAGGGACAGGGAAGCACUAAAGAUGUUACAGUCCAGGGAGAAACAGCAGCAAAAGAGGCUCAUGUUCCAGGACAACCACCCUAAAAUACAGCCAGAGCUACUAGCUACAGUACAGACAACAGAAUUCAUUGAGAGAAUCAAUGAUCAAAUCAAUGAAUUUGCAAAUAUAAUUAAAUGCUAAAAAGUGACAGUGUUAAACUUAGUGAUAAGAACCACAAUUCUUUAUGUGACUGGUGUCUUAAAACAGCGUUACAAGAGCAUUAUUUGCGUUUGUGUGGCUAUGACUGCUUUGUACACUGAAAAAAAAAACGAUGGAGGUCCAACUUUUAAAAAAUUGAUUUGUUUCAUGUAAUCAAGUUAAGUUUGUCAAACUUACUUUGUUUACGUUUGUGUAGCAUGACAACUUAAUGUAUUUACUUGAAUAAACUUAAUUGUACUUGUUACUUGUAACAAAUUAACAAAUUUUUUAAGUUGGAUCAACUGUUUAUUUUUUUCAGUGUACAGUCACAGC